UACAGAGGGUGCAAGCGUUGCUCGGAAUCACUGGGCGUAAAGGGCGCGUAGGCGGCCCGGUAAGGUUGCGGUGAAAGCCCGGGGCUCAACCCCGGGUCGGCCGUGGCAACUGCUGGGCUGGAGCACAGUAGAGGCGGGUGGAAUUCCGGGUGUAGCGGUGGAAUGCGUAGAGAUCCGGAAGAACACCGGUGGCGAAGGCGGUCUGCUGGGGUCGAACUGACGCUGAGGCGCGACAGCGGUGGGGAGCAAACAGG
rnacentral:rRNA from 1 species